rnacentral:rRNA from 1 species
UACAGAGGUCUCAAGCGUUGUUCGGAUUCAUUGGGCGUAAAGGGUGCGUAGGUGGCGCGCUAAGUCGGGUGUGAAAUCUCGGAGCUUAACUCCGAAAUUGCAUUCGAUACUGGCGUGCUUGAGGACUGGAGAGGAGACUGGAAUUCAUGGUGUAGCAGUGAAAUGCGUAGAGAUCAUGAGGAAGACCAGUGGCGAAGGCGACUUUCUGGCCUGUUCUUGACGCUGAGGCGCGAAAGCUAGGGGAGCAAACGGG